GGGCAUUUGGCACAGUGGUAGCGCGCACGCUUCGCAUCGGUCUUUACAGCAUUUCGUAGUCGGCUUUGCGUGAGGUCGAGAGUUCAAUCCUCUCAAUGUCCA